GUGUCUGUCAGCCUGGCUCCUGCUUGCGUUUUGAAGGUCAUCAUCCGGCCACCAUCCCAGCUCACACGCCUUGCAGGUCCUGCAAUCUGUGAGGCAGCAAAAUAUUCCAUAUUAUUCAUCUCCAAGAGGAAGGAGUAUAAUCAAACCAAGAGAGAGAACUAGAAGUGCAUACUAAAAUUUGGAAAUAGCCAGAAGAAGCAAAAGGGAUCAUAAAAGAGUAAAUAUCGACCCAAUGGAUGACGUACAAGAGGACACGUCAACGUGAAGAUCCUGGUAUACGGGAGGGCAGAAUGCUUUUAAUUGCUGUCCAUUUGAUUUUAUAUCCACAUAAUAAGCGGAACAACUCAAAAGUGGAAACAUGUGGUAUAGAGGAAACUGCACUACCUACACAAAGAAGGGUAUUAUCAGCAUACAAUGAUAUUCUCUGAUUUUCUGAUCCAGUGUUUUGAGGAAGAGAAAGAAUAGUAUUGUUAAAAGGGGUCAACUCUAGUUGAUCCCUAUACACAGAGAAUAACUAUUUCCUGUGCUGAACACUGAAAAUUUGUCUAUAAGUGCUUUAUCAUAAUGAUGAAUCGUAUUCUCCAGCCAGUCUGUACUAUCUGUACCAAUAUUGUCCCAGUCUAACAAGCAGGAAUAUUCAC